rnacentral:lncRNA from 1 species
AUGAUUUUUCAAGGGCAACAUGGACACACCUACUGGGAUCCAAAAGCAAUGCUUUUUCUAUGCUUAAGUCAUUUCUUUCUCUGGUCAAAACCCAAUUUAAUGUUGUGGUUCAGAUCGUUAGAAGUGACAAUGCCUUAGAAUUGGGCUCUAGCAAUGAGGGUAUUUCUUUUUUUAGCAGCGAGGGGAUCAUACAUCAAACUUCCUGCCCUCAUACCCCUCAACAAAAUGGUGUUGUUGAGAGGAAGCAUAGAACUCUCCUUGAAACCUGUAGGGCUUUGCUUUUUCAAUCUGGCAUGCCUGCUUCCUGCCCUCAUACCCCUCAACAAAAUGGUGUUGUUGAGAGGAAGCAUAGAACUCUCCUUGAAACCUGUAGGGCUUUGCUUUUUCAAUCUGACAUGCCUGUAUCUUUCUGGGGGGAUUGUUUGUUUGCUGCUACCUAUCUACUUAACAGGAUACCCACCAGAUUACUUCACAAUAAGUCUCCUCAUGAAAUCUUGUAUGGGAAAAUUCAAACCUAUACUCACUUGAGGAUUUUUGGUUGCCUUGCCUAUGCCACUGUCCCCGUCCCUCAAAGGGACAAGUUAAAGCCAAGAGCCAUUCCUUGUGUUUUCCUGGGAUAUCCUUAUG